AUUGAACGCUGGCGGCCGGCCUAACACAUGCAAGUCGAGCGAGCGGCGGACGGGUGAGUAAUGUCUGGGAAACUGCCUGAUGGAGGGGGAUAACUACUGGAAACGGUAGCUAAUACCGCAUACCAUCAGAUGUGCCCAGAUGGGAUUAGCUAGUAGGUGGGGUAACGGCUCACCUAGGCGACGAUCCCUAGCUGGUCUGAGCGGCUGACCAGCCACACGGGAACUGAGACACGGUCCAGACUCCUACGGGAGGCGGAGGUGGGGAAUAUUGCACAAUGGGCGAAAGCCUGAUGCAGCCAUGCCGCGUGUGGGAAGAAGGCCUUCGGGUUGUAAAGCACUUUCAGCGGGGAGGCGUUACCCGCAGAAGAAGCACCGGCUAACUCCGUGCCAGCAGCCGCGGUAAUUC
rnacentral:rRNA from 1 species